AAUGUGUUGUAUUGGAGAGUGGUACUCAGUAAUGUGUUGUGUUGGAGAGUGGUACUCAGUAAUGUGUUGUAUUGGAGAGUGGUACUCAGUAAUGUGUUGUAUUGGAGAGUGGUACUCAGUAAUGUGUUGUAUUGGAGAGUGGUACUCAGUAAUGUGUUGUAUUGGAGAGUGGUACUCAGUAAUGUGUUGUGUUGGAGAGUGGUACUCAGUAAUGUGUUGUAUUGGAGAGUGGUACUCAGUAAUGUCCUUGUUGCAAACAGGAGGCAUGUUUUGGAAUAUGUUUUAUUCUGUACAGGCUUACUUCUUUUCACUCUGUCAUUAGGUUGGUAUUGUGGAGUAACUACCAUGUUGUUCAUCCAUCCUCAGUUUCCUCCCAUCACAGCCAUUAAACUCUGUCAUUAGGUUGGUAUUGUGGAGUAACUACCAUGUUGUUCAUCCAUCCUCAGUUUCCUCCCAUCACAGCCAUUAAACUCUGUAACUGUUUUAAAGUCACCAUUGGCCUCAUGGUGAAAAUCCCUGAGUGGUUUCAUUCCAAUCCUUCAACUGAGUUAGGAAGGACGCCUGUGUCUUUGUAGUGACUGGGUGUAGAUAUA